GUAAAUGUAGUUUAAGCAAAAUAUUAGAUUGUGAUUCUAAAGAUAGAAGCUAAAACCUUCUCAUUCACC
rnacentral:tRNA from 1 species